rnacentral:rRNA from 1 species
AUUGAGCGCUGGCGGCAGGCCUAACACAUGCAAGUCGAACGGUAACAGGAAGCAGCUUGCUGCUUCGCUGACGAGUGGCGGACGGGUGGGUAAUGUCUGGGAAGCUGCCUGAUGGAGGGGGAUAACUACUGGAAACGGUAGCUAAUACCGCAUAAUGUCGCAAGACCAAAGAGGGGGACCUUCGGGCCUCUUGCCAUCGGAUGUGCCCAGAUGGGAUUAGCUUGUUGGUGGGGUAACGGCUCACCAAGGCGACGAUCCCUAGCUGGUCUGAGAGGAUGACCAGCCACACUGGAACUGAGACACGGUCCAGACUCCUACGGGAGGCAGCAGUGGGGAAUAUUGCACAAUGGGCGCAAGCCUGAUGCAGCCAUGCCGCGUGUAUGAAGAAGGCCUUCGGGUUGUAAAGUACUUUCAGCGGGGAGGAAGGGAGUAAAGUUAAUACCUUUGCUCAUUGACGUUACCCGCAGAAGAAGCACCGGCUAACUCCGU